GGGUAAUCUCUCUUGGCCUUUUGACCUCCUGUUCAAAGUGUUUUUUAGGGUUAUCUCUCUUAAUCACUGAAAGUAAUUGUUUGUGUAAGCAUUUUCUGUGCGAUUGAGUUAGCUAUGCAAGUGCAGAAAAUUUCAAGUUUGUUGUCGCUCAGAAUUACUUUCUUCGAGCAACAAAGGUUGAUUUACAAAGGCAGGAUUUUGAAGGACGACCAAACCCUAGAUAGCUAAGGACUACGGUACGGCUUGAUUUAAUUUUAAAGCAUUUUGCCGCUAUAUGUUUGUUAGGAUUUUGUGCUUUUGUGUUUUUUUUUUUUUUUUUUGCUGUUUGUGGUGCAUUUUUCCUUUUGUGUAUAUGAUGUGUGUUUUUUUUAAAGGAAGGGAAAAUAUGGCUUUGAUCUACUAGAGAUGGCUUUGAUUGUGCAUAUUUUUGGGGCGUUUUGAUGUUCCUAACAUUUGGAAGAAAAAGGAGUUUGUGGUUGUGUGCAUGUGUUUGGAUCUUAUAUAUAAAUGCAAGUACAUUCUUUCCCUUGCGCUAUUCUGGAUCGUUGGGUUUUUCUGAUCUUCUGGAGAUGGUUUUGUAUAUGGUGUGUAAUUUUUUUUUUGGAGGAAGGAAAAAUAUUGCUUUCGCAACACAUGGAGCUCAAUAUCACACGAUAAGACCAAAAAAUGGUUUUGAAAAUUGAUUGGGGUAUCAAGAGAUUAAUGAUAGCUAGCUUGUGUUUAUCCAAAGGACAUCUUUAAGCUGCACCUCAGGUGAUACUAUCAUUAUCGCUUUUGAAAUAUAGAAAGACGAUAGUAUGUCUUCUAGACAUUAAAUGUAUAUCCUAUCAAAAACUACAUGAAAUUCAUUAACUAAAUGGGGUUUUUUUUUUGUUUCCUGUGAUUUUUUAAGUUUAGGCAGACAUGAUGAAGAAGGAUUCUGAUUUCAUCGAGUUGCUCGAGGGCGAGCUCAGAAGUUCGAAAGGAUUUUUAGUAGAGAAAGAGGAAGAGUACAUCAUCGUCAACGUCAUGCUGCAUUAAGUUUUGGGCCUAGGCACACAUGAUAUUUGGGUUUGAGCAGAUAGGGUUUUGUGUUUGUGAAAUUUUCAGAUCAAGGAUUCAGAUAUUCUAAAGAGGCUGAUGGUGCUUUGGAUAAAGCGAGAAAAGACAAGAAGAGGCACCUUGAAGACACUGAAUCUUUUCUUCUUAAGAAGAGGAAGUAAUAGCAGCUUAAAGAAGAGAUUGAAAGGUCUAUGUCACACAAUUGGCUUUGCUCUUGCCUAAGUAUAACCUGAGGGCCAAGUUUCAUGUAGAAUGUCUGAUGAGUUUGAACAAAUUUCUUGCUGUUUUGUGGGCACUUUCGUCUUUCUAAGGCAUUUACUGAGUUUAACUAGCAGAGAAAGAAAAAGGAAGAGGGGCAAGGCGACAUAUGGUGCAGAUACACACCGCUACAGAUUUCAUUUCUUAAUUGAGGGCCUGAGGUGUAUUUCUUUUUUAUGCUCCAGUUUGGAAGCUGAAAUGGGCCAUCUGUUUGCCUUGUUUGGUCUAUGUUUUGGACAUAAACUCUUUCCGACAAUUAGAUAUGGAGUAUUUUUUUGUACUCUUAGCGUUCAUGAUAAUACUGAAUCUAAAUCUUUUGCUCUUCA